rnacentral:rRNA from 1 species
UACGGGGGGGGCAAGCGUUGUUCGGAAUUACUGGGCGUAAAGGGCUCGCAGGCGGCCAACUAAGUCAGAUGUGAAAUCCCUCGGCUUAACCGGGGAACUGCGUCUGAUACUGGAUGGCUUGAGUUCGGGAGAGGGAUGCGGAAUUCCAGGUGUAGCGGUGAAAUGCGUAGAUAUCUGGAGGAACACCGGUGGCGAAGGCGGCAUCCUGGACCGACACUGACGCUGAUGAGCGAAAGCCAGGGGAGCAAACGGG